rnacentral:rRNA from 1 species
CCUACGGGUGACAGCAGUGAGGAAUAUUGGUCAAUGGGCGCAAGCCUGAACCAGCCAAGCCGCGUGAAGGAAGAAGGUCCUAAGGAUUGUAAACCUCUUUUGUCGGGGAGCAAAAUGAGCCACGCGUGCCUUUCCGAGUGUACCUGAAGAAAAAGCAUCGGCUAACUCCGUGCCACCCGCCGCGGUAAUACGGAGGAUGCGAGCGUUAUCCGGAUUUAUUGGGUUAAAGGGGAGCGGGGGCGGUUGAUAAAGUCAGCGUGAAAAUUGAGGGGUGAAACCUCGUCGAGCCUUUGAAACUGGUUGUCUUGAGUGACUGAGAGGUAUGCGGAAUGCGUGGUGUAGCGGUGAAAUGCAUAGAUAGCACGAAGAACUCCGAUUGCGAAGGCAGCAUACCGGCGGUCAACUGACGCUCAUGCACGAAAGUGUGGGGAUCGAACAGGAUUAGAUACCCCUGUAGUC